CGGGAGGGGGCUUAUGCAGGACGCACUCCGAGAAAGAAAGGGAAAAAAAAUUUCAGGUGAUAGACGAUGCGAGGACGGCAGAAGAGCAGAUACCCCUUACGCGAGGACUCGCAAGGAAAAAAGUCACAGAAACGUCUCGAAAAUGCACGGCAGCCCCAGCUCCGCCACAACGACCCACGGCUGAAAUCCGAUUAGGGUCGAAGCAGCGCGAGACCCUCCCGUGCUCCAAAAGAGAUGGUCGGACCGAGCGUUUGCGUCCUCACUUCUCACUUCUCGAACGACUCAAACGCACCAUUUUCCUCCAGUGCGCUGCCUGCAUAUUGUUCUAAUUCAAAGCUUAAAACCACCCUGUUUCAAACCCAGUUUCGUGGAUUUACAGCGUAAUCCUUUCUACAAUUUCCGAAUAAUCCUAUUUGCAUUUUGUUCACUAGUAAGCAGGCGGCAGGGGAAUGCCAGCAGAAGUUUUAAGAGAGAGAGGAAAGGAAAAUGAAGUUAAAAAAAUAAAAUAAAAAAAAAAGGAUAGAAAAGGACUUUCGAGAGCAGCGAUGAAACGUUGACAAAUAUUUUUUUUUCCCCUGUAAAAACUGAUAAUGCUACUCGAGAAGUGAAAUGACGUUCUGAGUUAAUUUUGAGGUCCCAGGACAAAUUACUGUAAGGAAUGCAGACAGAAAACUUUUCUCUUUAAAUGGUUUUUUUUUUUUUUUUCCUUCCCCCUCCUUCUUUCUGUUUCCCGUAUCCCUGCUCCUCUUCUGGUACUUGAUGUGUUCAGUCCAGGUGGAAGGAAUGAAAGAAAGGAGAAAAAAAAAGAGAGGAGAACAGGGGGAAAAAAAAAAGAGAGAGAUAGAGGAAGAGAGAAAGAGAAGAAGACAGAAAGAGAAGAAGAGAAAUAGAGAGAAAGAAGGAAAAAAAAAGAGGGGAAGGAAGAGGAAGAAAGGAAGAUAAAGAAAGAAAGAAGGAAAGAAGGAAAGAAACCCCCGGAGGACCGCUGUGGCACCGACGCGGAGCAGGAUGCCCGUCCCUGCCCGCAAUGUGCCGCCAGGAGAGUGAUGCGGACAUCUCCGGCCGCACCGAUCCCCAUCGCACCCCGACCCCGCAGUGCCGGGGGGGCUCUGGCUUUUUCCGGACCGCCCUCGGGGCGCUGGGGACCCCUAUCAGGCUGGGACAACGCUGUCAGCCCUUUCCCGUCUCCAGCGGUUGUCCGAGGGGCCGGCUGUCCGGAUGGCAGCAGGCUCAGCCCUCGGGCGGACGCUUGAGGUCUGGCAGUCCCCGCGUGUCUCUAUUAGCCACGGUUUCUCCUCGUCCUGUCGCUUCUCUCCCACUUGCUUCCCUCCCAGCCUGGCAGAUGCUGUUUAAAACGGAAAGAACGGACGGAAGGGAAGGCGAGCGGCGGCGGCACGUCGGGGCAAGACGGCAGAAACCAUUCCCCACAGCGCUUGCCCG
ensembl:lncRNA